ACCAGGUAAAUCACUCUUAGCACAGCUCUAUUGUGAAAUAUAAACAAGUAUGGAUGUACAUGAAAAGAAAUGCCUGAUUUUAAGAUAAAACUUGUUAUUAUUAAAAAUGGUGACUGUCUAUCUUCCCCAAACCCAAGGGAACAAAGGAGCUUGCUCAUUGGUAAAAGGUAGGAGAAAUUUCACUUCAUUUAUUCAGGGACACUGCCCAAUAUGGUGAUUAGGAGCAGAAGCUGUGGAGUCAGGCUGAGCUGGGUGGGAAUUCCAGCUAGAUCGCUGACUAGCUUAGGCCAGGAAGCUUUGGAAAAUACUUGUUUAACUCUUCAGUUGAACAAUUCCUGCAUCUUUAACAUGGCUAUAAUCAUGCCUACUUUUUGGCAUGGUGUACAUUCUUAGCACAAGGUCUGAGUGUUAGUACAUUUACAUGUAUGUGUACCUAUAAGCCAGAUGCAUGUGGUACAAGGUUCCGUGGGACGUAUAUUUUUGAGAAAGGCAGCAUGUCCUUAAGGGAGAGCUGCCUUGGGCCUUAAUGCAGCAAGUCUUAGAGAACAAGCAAAGCCAUAACUCUUUGGAGUUAAUUUUCUCCUUGGUUAAUUUCCAUUUCCCAGGAAGAUACACCCUUAAGACUGUGGAUGUGUGUUCGGGGAUAUAGUGGUUUGGUGAAAUGUUUGAAAUCACAGAUUCCUUAGUUGAUUAUUUCUGGCCACGUGCCAGGGUGGGUUUUCUAAGAGCAGUAAAUAUUUGGGGGAGAGAUUUGAAGCAUGACAUACAGCAGAGCCAUGGGGGAACGUGGUGUGUAACUAAUUCCUCCAGUGCUUAUGAAGCUCCACUGCCUGAAAUGCAAGAUACGCACCUGUUGUCAAUUCUUACUAAAUUUGUAGACCAAUCUUCAUUUGCAUUUGGAAUAUGUCAUAAUGGAAUAGGACAGUGUCAGAGUUGGGAGGAGUUUCUGAGGUCUUGAUAUUUUGCUGUGCUCCUUUCUGAUUAUGUAAUUUAGAUGUGGGUUUUACAGGGUUCUAAUGAACUGCAAAGUCAGCAACAGUAAGUGAGCUUCUCUUGUUGGGCAAGUCACUGGGACAGAUGUCCCUGACAUGAAGAGGGAGGUGCCGGCUUUGAAGUCUUAGACACAGAAAAACAUGACUCAAAAUAAACAAACUUAGGGAGCAAUGUUUCUGAAACCCAUUACUUGCUAAUUCAUAUCAUUCACCACCUCCUCACCACACAAUUUUUACUGCCAUAAAAAAUGUUUUGUGACUUGCAUGACAAGGGAAUUGUUUGUGUGUAUAUGUUGAGUUUAGUUAUCACAACUUCCGGAUGUGAGGAUAGUUGAAAUGGUAGAAGAGUUAAUAAUGGAAGAAAAGUUCCUCUCUGCAAAUCACUGAAAGGUAAGGUAGAUACUCUUAUCAAGAAUGGAAACUCUAAGGGGGCUCAGGGAGGGUUUUGUCUACAAUUUCUUCUCUCUUUUAGUGGCCAACUGCUCCCCCCCUCUACCUCUACCCUUCAGCUUUUCCCAGCUGGUCCAUGUUUCAGUAUUAAAGUCAAGAUGAGAAAAGGGAGGGGAAAAGAAGGGGGCAUGGCUACUGGUGACCUGAGCUAGCAAAGUGGAUGACUUAACGUCUGACGUCUGAGUUGAUUGGUAGCCAGAGUGGGUUGUAGGGUAUGUGAAUUUGUUAACCUGAGGUCAGGAAAUCAAGUGAUAACAUCCUGAAUGGCCAUGGAAGUUGGAGGUCUCUCUUCUAAGGCUCACUCUGCCUUUUUGGGGGCUACUUUUUCAAAAAUUGUGUGUGUGCAUUAUUCUAUUGUGGUAAAAUACACAUAAGAUAACAUUCACCAUUCUUAAAAUCACUUUUAAGAGCAGAAUUUAGUGGCAUUAAGUACAUUCCCAUGCCACUAUCCACUUCCGGAACAUUUCCAUCAUCCCAAACAGAAAUUCUUCACCCAUUAAAUACUAACUCUCCGUUCUCCCCUCCCUUAACCUGUGGUAACCUUUAUUUUACUUUCUGCCUCUAUCUGCCUAUUCUAGGUCCCUCCUAUAAGUGAAAUUAUACAAUAUUUGUCCUUCUGUGUCUGGCUUACUUAGCAUCAUGCCAUCAAGGUUCAUUCCUGUUGUAGCAUGUAUCAGGAUUACAGUCUAUAUGACUGAAUAAUAUUCCAUUGUAUGGAUAUACUACAUUCUGUUUAUCCAUUCAUCUGUCGAUGGACAUCUGGGUUGUCUCCACAUUUGGCUACGGUGAAUAAUUCUGCGAUGAACAUUGACCUGCAAGUAUCUGUUUGGAUUCCUGCUUAGUUCUUCGGGGUAUAUGCCUAGGAGUGGAAUUUCUGGGUCAUAUGGUAACACUAUGUUUAACUUCCUGAAGAGCCACCAAACCACUUUCCACAGGAUUUCACCAUUUUACUUUAUCACCAGCAAAGCAUGAGAGUUCCAAUUGCUCCACAUCCUUACUGUCACUUGUUGUUCUUGGGGUUUUUGGGUUUUGUUUGUCUUUUUAAAUAGCUGUCCUAAUGAGUGUGAAAUGAUGUAUUUUGUUUUGGUUUGCAUUUCCCUGAUGAUAAGUGAUGCCGAUCAUCUUUUCAGGUGUUUAUUGACCAUUGGUAUAUCUUCUUUGGAGGAAUGACUAUUCAAGUCCUUUGUUCAUUUUUGAAUUAGGUUGUUAUUGAGUUAUGGGCAUUCUUUGUAUAUUCUGGAUAUUAAUCCCUUCUCAGAUAUAUAAUUAGCAAAUAUUUUCUCCCAUUCUGUGGGUUGCCAUUUUACUGUAUUGAUAGCGACUUUUGAUGCACAAAUUUUUUUAAUUUUGAUGAAGUCCAAUUUAUCUUUUCUUUUGUUUCCUAUGCUUUUAGUGUUAUAUUCAAGAAAUCACUGCCAAAUCCAAUGUUGUGAAGAUUUCCCCCUAUGUAUGAUUCUAAGAGUCUUAUAAUUUUAGCUCUUAAGUUUAGGUCUUUUACCCAUUGUAAAUAAGUUUUGCAUAUUGUAUGAGGUAAGAGUUCCUUCAUUCUUUUGUAUGUGGAUCCAGUUUUCCUGGCACCAUUUGUUGAAAAGAUUAUCUUUCCCCCAUAGAAUGGUUUUAGCAAUCUUAUAGAAAAUUGACUGUCUAUGUGAGUUUUUAUUUCUAGACUCUCUGUUCUCUUCCAUUGAGCUGUAUUUCUAGCCUUAUGCCAGUACUAAACUGUUUUGAUUACUGUAGCUCUAUAGUAAGUUUUGAAAUCAGGAAGUAUGAAUCCUUCAACUUUUUUCUUCUAGUGGUUUUAUGACUUCCUUUUCAUUAUCAUAAACCAUUUACCCUAUUGAAAUUUCUAGAAUCACUAGUAUAAGAGAAGGGUUUUUUUUUUCAAAGUAGCUAACCAGUUAUUUCAGUACUAGUAUUAAGAACUGAUGUUCCCCAACUUACGAUUGGACUUAACUUUUUUGACGUCAUGAUGAUGAUGUAAAAGCAAUAUGCAUUCCAUAGAAACCAUACUUUGAAUUUUGAAUUCAGAUCUUUUAUUGGGUUAACCAUCUGCAGUAUAAUCCUCUCUUGAGAUGCUGGGCAGGGCAGUGAGCCACAGCUCCCAGUUAGCCACACAAUCACAAGGGUAAACAACUGAUACACUGAAAACCAUCCUAAACCCACACAACCAUUCUGUUUUCACUUUCAGUACAGCAUUCAAUAUGUUACAUGAGAUAUUGAACACUUUAUGAUAAAAUAAGCUUUGUGUUGGAUAAUUUUGCCCCCCCGUAGGCUGAUGUGUUUGAGUAUAUUUAAGGUAGGCUAGGUUAAGCUGUGGUGUUUGGUAGCUUAGGUGUAUUAGAGACAUUUUCUAUGUUAUUUUCAAUUUAUGAUUUGUUUACCUGUAUGCAACCCCAUUGUAAGGUGAGGAAGAUCUGUACCAAGUAAUCCUUUCUCUUCCUGCAGAUUUGUAAUACCAUUUUGGAAAAACAGUAUUAUAACCUCUCUUUCCUUCUGUUUAACAUUUGAUGAUUGUUCUCUCUCCAUCGUCAUUCAUUCAGCAAACACUAAUUGACUGCCUAAUUGUGCUCAGGCACUGUGAAUGUUAUUUACUAUUUCUGUAGGAAUUUACAUGAGCAGAGGAAAGCAUUUUCAGAUGUUUCAAAUCUGAAUAUUCAUUUAUAAUACUGGGGCCAAGUGAUUUGCUAGAGAGUCAGACAAGUGGAGGUGAGCUUGUGAAUGGAGGAAGGUGUCUGGAGUUUGGGAAAAAAGGACAUUCAUAAUUGAGCUUUUUUCAUAGAUUUUACACUGACGUGGGUCAGUCUUCAGCCCAUUUGAAAGUUUAUUUUUAAGCAAUAUAGCUUCCUAUAUGAAAACAGUGAUGUUUCCAAAUGCUCUGCCUGCUCUCUUGGGCUUACAUUUUUCUUGGACAGUCUAGACUUUAUUUUUCAUACUAAUAUGACAAAUAUUAUUUCUGACAGAUGAUAGAUGAUAAACCACUAUGCUCUACUCUUUCUUUACCUUCCAUCUUUUCUGCAUGUGCAGAUUUGGUAACUUCAGAGAGUGAGAGAAUCCCUCACUUUGGCAUUUCUUCAUUCUCUAAAUUCUUACUGUUAAGGACACUUCGGAUGUAAUUUUUUUUUGCCUGUACAUAGUACAGUGUUGCCUGAACCCAUCUUAUGGUAUGUCUACUGCCAAUGUUAUUAAUAACAAUUGUAAGUAAAAGAAAUUAUAUUUAGCUUGCUUAAAUUUAGGGGUAUUACAUAGAAUUUUAGAGUCGUAUCUAUUUUCUGAAAGCAGGAUAGUUCUAUUUCUAAUAUAACUCAUACAUCUGUCUCAUACUGCGUGUCCCCAGAAAAGCCUGACAGCCUGGUAUGUCACUGAUAAGGAUGAGACCUCCCAGAAAUCUUGCAAAAAUGCUUUGCUUUACAGCAAUAACUCUUAAAACUCCUUUGGAUCACAGAUCCCUUGGUUACAUGAGAAAUGCUUUAUAGACUUUUUACAUGUAUGCCCAAUAUAUAAAAGGAGUGUCAGAGAUCCUGAGGCCUACACAUUAUCUCUUUUAAUCCUUUCGUAGACCCUAGGAAGUAGAUAACAUUCUCUCCGUGUUACAGAUGAAUAAACAGAGGUCUGGCAAAGUUGAGAAACUGAGUGCACAGAGCUAGUUAAUGACAGCUGGGAUUCAGGGCUGGUGAACCUAGCUGAAGCAGAAGUGGUGAAAUUACCAGCAAUUUCCAGAGUGGGUCUUCCAUAUCAGUACUUCAUUAGCUAGCAGAGGUUUCUGUUUAGCUGCUAGAAAAUAAAUUUUUAUGACUCUUACCCUAGUGAUAACAUAGUUCCAGGUAAGUACAAUGUUUGAGCAGCAGUGUCCAGCCCAUUCUGUAGAUAAAUACCCAUAUGUUAUAUUGCAUUUAUACAGAGCAGACAGAAUGCCUCUUCUGGGUUUCUUUGCUGACUUAUUUUUGUCCGCGUAUCCUGCUUUCCUAACAACUGCACAAUGUUAUGUUUCUAUGGCUACAUCAGAACUGUUCUUAAAUAGAGGUUUGAGAAAACACAACUAGCAAGGCUUGGGCAAGAUAGAAUGGUGGGAAGAUGACUGACAUUUUACCUGCCAGACAUCAUCUUCUAAGCAUUUCUUUGAGUCUAAUAGUCUUUUUUUAAAAUUGGAGUAUAGUUAAUAUACAAUAUUAUAUUGGCUCCAAGUAUACAACACAGUGUCUAAUGGUGCCCUGCUGUCUCUGCCCCUUCCCAGUUCCUUUGCUUGUCUUCAAAUCUGUAUGCCCACUGGUUUCACCAUGUGUGAAGCUGUCGUUCCUAAUAAAUGACCAGUAGCCCACAGUGAUGACAUUUGGGAACACAAGUCAAGUUCUGAAUAACAUGGGCCACCUUUCCAAUGGAUACCCAAGUGCAGGUUGACAGGUUCCCUUGAGGACAGGAUUAUAACUAAGAGAUGUGCCCAAAUUUCAGGAGUAGCUGACAGUAGCAGAGAGGAAGAGGGCCAGAGGGAGGAUCUCUGACCUUCUACCUCCUUUCUGCUUCUUGCCGGCUAGGAGGCGCUGUUUUCUCGUCCUCCCACCAGGGGGCGCCAGCCACCACCUGCUUAGUGCUUGGCACAGACUGACCGGAGUCGAGCGAGACUAUUUUGUUCUGCUGACUGCUCUACUGGGUAGGAUGAAAUGAGAAAGUCAUCUGAUACGAACUUAUGCUACAUGGUAGAGAAAAGAGAAUACGGAAUGAAGGAGGAUGGUAUUGCAUUUUUUGAUACCUUCAUCUCCUGCUGGCUUAGGAUCGAUCCUACCUCUCCUGAGUGUGUUGUUUCUCCUCACACCUCCGAAUUGUAUGGUUCAGAGCAUAUUUUCUGUGGCUUCUGAGAAGCUGGAAGGCUUCCCCCUUCUUCAUGCUGCUCAAUGGUGUUCACUGGUUGAAUGGCGUAUAAACGCCCUGUGUUGGAUGCGGGAGGCGGGCUGGUGGUGACUUUUGUAGUUAACCGAAAUACAAAUCUUGAAGACAUUGUCUUCAAAAAAAUGUGUUGAUUGAAUGUGUGACAGAGUUUCUGGUGCCCUCUGGUGGCUGGGCGGCGGUCUGCACAGCACGGUUGCGUUCACAGAAAGAGGGAGACGCGUGCUGUCCCUUCCCGGCAGGAUGCCGGCUCUGCCCUGAAGAGAGUGAGGAAUAUUCUCCAGAGACCAGAGCUCGUACUGUUCCAGUGGCUCCCUCGUCUCUCUCUCAGUUCCGGUCGCCCUAACCUACUCCUUUUAGUUUCUCCUUGCGGUUCUCAGUCGGCAGUCCUUUCCCAGCAGUGUCACCGCACAGACGCGUGUUCCCUGCCGAGCGGAAGGGCUGUACUCGGUGCUGUCGCCUGUGUCUCCUGCGGAGCAUGCCUACUGCAUCUGACAGUGUCAAAUCCCGGAUUUCUCGCCUCUUUCCACAGCGGAGAGGUCGUUUGGGGCCACACCGUUCAUCAGCAGGGCAGUGCCCCCCAGGAGCAGCGCUCCUGCCCUCCCAGCAAUCUUGAGGGGGCGGAUGUGGGCUCCGUUUCCCCUGCAGGCACCAGCUCGCUGCCGAGCCCUCCUCCUCCCUUCUCUCCACCCCAUCCUGCCUUGGCGCGUUUGAAAGCCCUGCGUGGAAGCUGGACGCCGUUCCCUUGUUUGGCCCUGCUCGAGCGCUCCGCCGGGGCCCCGCGGCGGCUGGCGUUUGUGGGGCUCGUCGGGGCCCUGCCCUGUGCGGUGGCCUCCGGGUCAGAGAGAAUAAGCAGCCCCAGCGAGCCUUGCCAAACUCAGCAGACGUUUUUGAUUGAAUUUAAUUAAAGGGCGCGUGCUGAAGAGAAAA